rnacentral:rRNA from 1 species
GAUGAACGCUGGCGGCGUGCCUAAUACAUGCAAGUCGAGCGAACGGACGAGAAGCUUGCUUCUCUGAUGUUAGCGGCGGACGGGUGAGUAACACGUGGAUAACCUACCUAUAAGACUGGGAUAACUUCGGGAAACCGGAGCUAAUACCGGAUAAUAUUUUGAACCGCAUGGUUCAAAAGUGAAAGACGGUCUUGCUGUCACUUAUAGAUGGAUCCGCGCUGCAUUAGCUAGUUGGUAAGGUAACGGCUUACCAAGGCAACGAUGCAUAGCCGACCUGAGAGGGUGAUCGGCCACACUGGAACUGAGACACGGUCCAGACUCCUACGGGAGGCAGCAGUAGGGAAUCUUCCGCAAUGGGCGAAAGCCUGACGGAGCAACGCCGCGUGAGUGAUGAAGGUCUUCGGAUCGUAAAACUCUGUUAUUAGGGAAGAACAUAUGUGUAAGUAACUGUGCACAUCUUGACGGUACCUAAUCAGAAAGCCACGGCUAACUACGUGCCAGCAGCCGCGGUAAUACGUAGGUGGCAAGCGUUAUCCGGAAUUAUUGGGCGUAAAGCGCGCGUAGGCGGUUUUUUAAGUCUGAUGUGAAAGCCCACGGCUCAACCGUGGAGGGUCAUUGGAAACUGGAAAACUUGAGUGCAGAAGAGGAAAGUGGAAUUCCAUGUGUAGCGGUGAAAUGCGCAGAGAUAUGGAGGAACACCAGUGGCGAAGGCGACUUUCUGGUCUGUAACUGACGCUGAUGUGCGAAAGCGUGGGGAUCAAACAGGAUUAGAUACCCUGGUAGUCCACGCCGUAAACGAUGAGUGCUAAGUGUUAGGGGGUUUCCGCCCCUUAGUGCUGCAGCUAACGCAUUAAGCACUCCGCCUGGGGAGUACGACCGCAAGGUUGAAACUCAAAGGAAUUGACGGGGACCCGCACAAGCGGUGGAGCAUGUGGUUUAAUUCGAAGCAACGCGAAGAACCUUACCAAAUCUUGACAUCCUUUGACAACUCUAGAGAUAGAGCCUUCCCCUUCGGGGGACAAAGUGACAGGUGGUGCAUGGUUGUCGUCAGCUCGUGUCGUGAGAUGUUGGGUUAAGUCCCGCAACGAGCGCAACCCUUAAGCUUAGUUGCCAUCAUUAAGUUGGGCACUCUAAGUUGACUGCCGGUGACAAACCGGAGGAAGGUGGGGAUGACGUCAAAUCAUCAUGCCCCUUAUGAUUUGGGCUACACACGUGCAACAAUGGACAAUACAAAGGGCAGCGAAACCGCGAGGUCAAGCAAAUCCCAUAAAGUUGUUCUCAGUUCGGAUUGUAGUCUGCAACUCGACUACAUGAAGCUGGAAUCGCUAGUAAUCGUAGAUCAGCAUGCUACGGUGAAUACGUUCCCGGGUCU